rnacentral:rRNA from 1 species
CCAUGCUGUAAACGGUGGGCGCUAGGUGUAGGGGGCUUCCACGUCUUCUGUGCCGUAGCUAACGCAUUAAGCGCCCCGCCUGGGGAGUACGGCCGCAAGGCUAAAACUCAAAGGAAUUGACGGGGGCCCGCACAAGCGGCGGAGCAUGUGGAUUAAUUCGAAGCAACGCGAAGAACCUUACCGGGACUUGAAAUCCUAUGGAAAGCGCAGGAGACUGUGCCCCUCUUCGGAGCCGUAGGACAGGUGGUGCAUGGUUGU